rnacentral:lncRNA from 1 species
UAUUGUCAAAACUAAGCCAAAUAUUAUUUUAUUCAUUUCUGAUUUUCGGGCUUGCCGGAUCAUCCGAUAAUAUUCAGGCUUUUGGGAAAAAUAAAAUUAUUUACCUACCUACCUACCCACACCUGGCUUGUCAGAAUAGGGAUUAGGGAAACAAACAAUAUAUUAAUUUAGGCCUCAUGUCUGUGAGCACUCAACCUGACCAUAAUAUAGGACAGUGGUUCAAAUAUUAACACAACAUAUGAACAUUCUAUAACAACUAUUGCAAGUGGCUCAACUUUAAAUAUCACUGCAAGGCACUAAACAACGAAUAUUAAAUCUUGGACACAAAGCACUGAAAUAAGAGAACUCAUA